UUAAAACACCGGUUCCCGUAUGAUCACCGAAGUUAAGAAACGUCGAGCCUGGUCAGUACCUACAUAGGUGAUCGCUUGGUAAUACCAGGU